rnacentral:rRNA from 1 species
UGGGGAAUAUUGGACAAUGGGCGAAAGCCUGAUCCAGCCAUGCCGCGUGUGUGAAGAAGGUCUUCGGAUUGUAAAGCACUUUAAGUUGGGAGGACGGGCAUUAACCUAAUACGUUAGUGUUUUGACGUUACCGACAGAAUAAGCACCGGCUAACUCUGUGCCAGCAGCCGCGGUAAUACAGAGGGUGCAAGCGUUAAUCGGAAUUACUGGGCGUAAAGCGCGCGUAGGUGGUUUGUUAAGUUGUAUGUGAAAUCCCCGUGCUCAACCUGGGAACUGCAUUCAAAACUGACUGACUAGAGUAUGGUAGAGGGUGGUUGAAUUUCCUGUGUAGCGGUGAAAUGCGUAGAGAUAGGAAGGAACACCGGUGGCGAAGGCGACCACCUGGACUAAUACUGACACUGAGGUGCGAAAGCGUGGGGAGCAAACA